GACGAACGCUGGCGGCGUGCUUAACACAUGCAAGUCGAACGGUGAACUCCGCUUGCGGGGGGAUCAGUGGCGAACGGGUGAGUAACACGUGGGCAACCUGCCCUCAGCUCUGGGAUAACUCCAAGAAAUUGGGGCUAAUACCGGAUAUGACCGCUGACCGCAUGGUCUGGUGGUGGAAAGAUUUAUCGGCUGGGGAUGGGCCCGCGGCCUAUCAGCUUGUUGGUGGGGUAGUGGCCUACCAAGGCGACGACGGGUAGCCGGCCUGAGAGGGUGACCGGCCAAAACGGGACUGAGAACAGGCCCCGACUCCUACGGGAGGCCGGAGUGGGGAAUAUUGCGGAAUGGGCGGAAGCCUGACGCAGCGACGCCGCGUGGGGGAUGACGGCCUUCGGGUUGUAAACCUCUUUCAGCAGGGACGAAGCGAAAGUGACGGUACCUGCAGAAGAAGCACCGGCCAACUACGUG
rnacentral:rRNA from 1 species